rnacentral:pre_miRNA from 1 species
UUGAUACUACCUCCGUCCGAAAAUACUUGUCCUAAAGAUGAAUGUAUCUAGACUUAUUUUAAUUGUAGAUACAUCCAUUAUAUGCAUUUCUAGGACAAGUAUUUUCGGACGGAGGGAGUAUGAU